UGUUACAUUUCAGUAUCUGAGCUGUACUGAUUUCAUCAAAUUUUCUCAUGCAUCUAUUUUCUUUCAGCCUUGUCUUUCUGUGACUGGCAGAGAAGUGUUGUCUCCAACCAGGUGUGCAGAAGAGAGAAGACAGACUGUAUAGGAACGGACAUACUAUUCCCUCUGUUGUGGGAAAGACAUUUUUGUUUCUUUCUUUUCAGCAGACUCUGCAGAGAACUUCUAAGCUUGGCUGGAGCAAUCUGAUUUACCCAGAAAAACAGAAGUAUUUAGAAAGACUUACAAUAUUCUCCUGACCUUGGAAAAGCUUACUAAUACCUGCCUUGAAGUACAGGAAAUCUUUGCGUUAGGACUUCCCCAAAAUUUUUACUGCAGCUGUAGUUUCUUACUGUGGCUUUGAGUGAAUAGUGGGAUGCAUUUUUCUGCAAAGAUUGAAGAUUUAUCUUUCAUCAUGCCCUCAGAGAUGGGAUCACUGUUCGUCACCUACAAUGAUCUUCAGGGUACCUGUGGAAUGCCUCUCAAAAUGUUUUGAAGAGUACAUCAAUCAGAACAGAGUAAGACUCAACUCAAGCAUUUUUAGAUGUAAUUUACAUUCAGAAUGUGGAAGACUGAUGCAUUUCUAGUCUUGGAAGAAAUGAUGAAAAACCAAAAAGUAAAGGGAAUGUGUGAUUCAAGAAAAAUAAACUGAUGUCACUGUGGUUUUUGACUGGGAAG
rnacentral:lncRNA from 1 species